rnacentral:rRNA from 1 species
AACGAACGCUGGCGGCAUGCCUAACACAUGCAAGUCGAACGAGACCUUCGGGUCUAGUGGCGCACGUGUGCGUAACGCGUGGGAACCUGCCCUUAGGUUCGGAAUAACUCCCCGAAAGGGGUGCUAAUACCGGAUAAUGUCUUCGGACCAAAGAUUUAUCGCCUUUGGAUGGGCCCGCGUUGGAUUAGCUAGUUGGUAGGGUAAAAGCCUACCAAGGCGACGAUCCAUAGCUGGUCUGAGAGGAUGAUCAGCCACACUGGGACUGAGACACGGCCCAGACUCAUACGGGAGGCAGCAGUGGGGAAUAUUGGACAAUGGGCGAAAGCCUGAUCCAGCAAUGCCGCGGGAGUGAUGAAGGCCUUAGGGUUGUAAAGCUCUUUUACCCGGGAUGAUAAUGACAGUACCGGGAGAAUAAGCUCCGGCUAACUCCGU